rnacentral:rRNA from 1 species
UACGUAGGUGGCAAGCGUUGUCCGGAAUUAUUGGGCGUAAAGCGCGCGCAGGCGGCUUCUUAAGUCUGAUGUGAAAUCUUGCGGCUCAACCGCAAGCGGUCAUUGGAAACUGGGAGGCUUGAGUCUCGUAGAGGGGGGUAGAAUUCCAGGUGUAGCGGUGAAAUGCGUAGAGAUGUGGAGGAACACCAGUGGCGAAGGCGGCUCUCUGGUCUGUAACUGACGCUGAGGCGCGAAAGCGUGGGGAGCAAACAGG